UUUUGACAGGCAGCUGACCUUGUCCCAACUUUGUUUGGUGGGAAAAAUGCAGCCAAGCUGAUUUAGCUGCAACAGCUCAAAUGGUAAAACGAUGACUAGGCCCUUUCAUUUUAACGAGAUAUAUGCUUCACAUGCUCAGAUUAAUCUGAACUGAAACCAUUUGAGGGACCUAAACGUCUGAUUUGUGUUUGUGAUGAUCUCAGCCAGCUGCUCCCAAUCAAUCCACAGCCAGUAAAGAUGGUUAAAGUAAAACUCGGCUUCAUUCCGCCAUCCGACAAAGUUCUCCAACUGCUGCCAUGUGCUUGCAAUGAACGUAGCAAUACAAACCGGAAACGUCACAGAGGAAGAGGAAAAACAAAACUGAAAGGAAAAGAAAAAAAAGCAGCAUGCUAGCAUAUCCAGAGAACCUGAGAGUCUAAACAACCCAGGGCCAUUUCCUGGCCGCCUCUCCACUCCAAUGUUUAUGCUAAGUUUCACAGAGGCGAACUAACAAACCUGCCAACAUUUUUAACCUUCCCCUGUCAUUUAUUCCCAAUUCCCAUCUCUCCUGAUAUCAUCUCCCUCAAAUUUUUCUCUUCAUUUCUUUAACAAAGUUUGAAAAACACAA